AGAGAGAGAGUGUGUGUGUGUGUGUGUGUGUGUGUAUAGAGAGAUAUACAUACACACACACACUCUCUCUCUCUCUCU